rnacentral:tRNA from 2 species
GGAGAGGUGGCUGAGCGGCUGAAGGCGCACGCCUGGAAAGUGUGUUUAGGUUAAUCCCUAACGAGGGUUCGAAUCCCUCUCUCUCCGCCA